AUACUGUGUUGUGCUGCUUUCUGCUUCAGAGUUAGUUAGUUAGUCUGUAACCGUUUAAUCUAGAACAGGUCUCACAUCUAAGUAUGAAAAGCAAAGAAGAAAUGAAACCGAUGUUCCUUUGCAUUGGACUGAACGUCUUUCUUCCGUGACUCAGCAUCUGAAGUUUCCAAGAAGAGAUUCUUGAAAGUAAAGCCUUUUCUUCUCUAGUAUCAUCUCCUUGCCAGGCGAGCAAUCCAUAAAGCUGUUACACACCUUCAUCUUAGCUCUUAUCCACCUCACAGUCCUUUGAACUCAGAAGAACUUGAUUUAGGUUAAACAUCAGGAAGAAUUUCCUAACCAUCAGAAUAAUUGGGCAAUUGAACAAAUUUGCCAUGGGAAGAUGCACAGUCCCCCAUUAUUCUGAAGUUAUUAAACAGAGGUGAAACCUCCGUCGGUGAUGAUUUGUAAAGAGAAUGGACAAAGCUGCAAAAAUAAUAGCCCCCAAAGCCUCAGAUAUGCACACCUCCUCGUUGGACAUUCAUUAUCAACCCUCAUGUUCGUCUUUUAUCUACAAGUCCUCUUCAGUGUUCAGCAUAAACUACAUGGACACCUUGCAGAUUGACAUUUCUUCAUUCAUGCUUUACCUUAAACAGCAUGCAAAGACAUCAAAGAAAUGGAGCUGGCUUUGAUGUUACAAAAUGAAAAACGCCUCAUGAUUUGCCAAGACCAGGGGAACUUCUAGUUUGCGCUCUCUCUCUCUCUCUCUCUCUCUCUCUCUCUCUCUCUCUCUCUCUCUCUCUCUCUCCUCCACCUUAAAGGUGGGGGGAGAUCUAACUUCCCUACAGACAUGUGAAAAAUCUUUUCCUAUUGUUUGCCCAAUUUACCCAAAUGUUGCUUCCCAGCUGAAACA